GAUGAACGCUGGCGGCGUGCCUAAUACAUGCAAGUCGAGCGAACAGACGAGGAGCUUGCUCCUUUGACGUUAGCGGCGGACGGGUGAGUAACACGUGGGUAACCUACCUAUAAGGCUGGAAUAACUUCGGGAAACCGGAGCUAAUACCGGAUAAUAUUUCGAACCGCAUGGUUCGAUAGUGAAAGAUGGCUUUGCUGUCACUUAUAGAUGGACCUGCGCCGUAUUAGCUAGUUGGUAAGGUAACGGCUUACCAAGGCAACGAUACGUAGCCGACCUGAGAGGGUGAUCGGCCACACUGGAACUGAGCCACGGUCCAGACUCCUACGGGCGGCAGCAGUAGGGAAUCUUCCGCAAUGGGCGAAAGCCUGACGGAGCAACGCCGCGUGAGUGAUGAAGGUCUUCGGAUCGUAAAACUCUGUUAUUAGGGAAGAACACAUGUGUAAGUAACUGUGCACGUCUUGACGGUACCUAAUCAGAAAGCCACGGCUAACUACGUG
rnacentral:rRNA from 1 species